rnacentral:rRNA from 1 species
CCAGACUCCUACGGGAGGCAGCAGUGAGGAAUAUUGGUCAAUGGGCGGGAGCCUGAACCAGCCAAGUCGCGUGAGGGAAGAAGGUACUGAGUAUUGUAAACCUCUUUUGCCAGGGGACAAAGGCGGCCACGGGUGGCCGUAAGAGGGUACCUGGAGAAAAAGCAUCGGCUAACUCCGUGCCAGCAGCCGCGGUAAUACGGAGGAUGCGAGCGUUAUCCGGAUUUACUGGGUGUAAAGGGAGCGCAGGCGGCACGGCAAGCCUGAUGUGAAAGCCCGCGGCCCAACCGCGGGACUGCAUUGGGAACUACCGGGCUGGAGUGCCGGAGAGGUAGGCGGAAUUCCUAGUGUAGCGGUGAAAUGCGUAGAUAUUAGGAGGAACACCAGUGGCGAAGGCGGCCUACUGGACGGUGACUGACGCUGAGGCUCGAAAGCGUGGGGAGCAAACAGGAUUAGAUACCCGAGUAA